UGGGGAAUCUUGCACAAUGGGGGAAACCCUGAUGCAGCGACGCCGCGUGAGCGAUGAAGCCCUUCGGGUUGUAAACCCCUUUCGACAGGGACGAAGCGCAAGUGACGGUACCUGUAGAAGAAGCACCGGCCAACUACGUGCCAGCAGCCGCGGUAAUACGUAGGGUGCGAGCGUUGUCCGGAAUUACUGGGCGUAAAGAGCUUGUAGGCGGUCUGUCACGUCGAUUGUGAAAACUUGGGGCUCAACUCCAAGCUUGCAGUCGAUACGGGCAGACUAGAGUACUUCAGGGGAGACUGGAAUUCCUGGUGUAGCGGUGAAAUGCGCAGAUAUCAGGAGGAACACCGGUGGCGAAGGCGGGUCUCUGGGAAGUAACUGACGCUGAGAAGCGAAAGCGUGGGUAGCGAAC
rnacentral:rRNA from 1 species